AUAUUUACUAUAUAUAUGUGUGUGUGUGUGUGGGUGUGUGUGUGUGUGGGUACAUAUGCACACACACUCACACAUAUGUAUGUACAUAAAUA
rnacentral:miRNA from 14 species